rnacentral:rRNA from 1 species
GCGCAACCCUUAUUACUAGUUGCCAGCAUUAAGUUGGGCACUCUAGUGAGACUGCCGGUGACAAACCGGAGGAAGGUGGGGACGACGUCAAAUCAUCAUGCCCCUUAUGACCUGGGCUACACACGUGCUACAAUGGAUGGUACAACGAGUCGCGAGACCGCGAGGUUAAGCUAAUCUCUUAAAACCAUUCUCAGUUCGGACUGUAGGCUGCAACUCGCCUACACGAAGUCGGAAUCGCUAGUAAUCGCGG